rnacentral:rRNA from 1 species
GAUGAACGCUAGCGGCAGGCCUAACACAUGCAAGUCGAGGGGUAGAGUUCUUCGGGACUUGAGACCGGCGCACGGGUGCGUAACGCGUAUGCAAUCUACCUUAUACAGGGGAAUAGCCCAGAGAAAUUUGGAUUAAUGCCCCAUAGUGUUAUCGAAUCGCAUGGUUUGAUAACUAAAGUUCCAACGGUAUAAGAUGAGCAUGCGUCCCAUUAGUUAGUUGGUAAGGUAACGGCUUUACCAAGACAAUGAUGGGUAGGGUCCUGAGAGGGAGAUCCCCCACACUGGUACUGAGACACGGACCAGACUCCUACGGGAGGCAGCAGUGAGGAAUAUUGUCAAUGGGCGCAAGCCUGAACCAGCCAUGCCGCGUGCAGGAAGACGGUCCUAUGG